AUCAAUGUUGGAAACUGAGAGUGAAGCAGGAGAUCAUCCUUCACAGGAGGCUGAGUUUGGUGACAAACUGAACUUUGACCACAAAUAGGUCUUAGUUUCAGAUGCUUCACAUACAAAGUAAAGAUCUUUGGUUUCCAGCAGUUUUCUGACCACGAACGUCCUGAAACUUUGUGUUUGUCACAAAGCUUUCCUUCCAGCCCAGCAGAUGGUGAGUUCCUCUCAUUCAUGGUUCUUUGCAGCUCCAGACCUUCCUCAGCCCUCAGUCUGGAUCCACAUGCUCCAACACAGCAAACCUGGACAAACAUGACAGGCGGAUCCUGUAAAGAAGUCAUGGUGGGAGACAGGCUUAUCACCACAACUUCACAAGACGAGGAGAGAAGAUGCUGAGAUGUUUGGAACCAACCCAAAGGAAACGGGAAACCCAACUACGGAUGGGCAGCCUAAUUCCGGAUCUUCUGCAGCUUCAGCAAUGACCAAAAAUUAGACAAAUUUUACAAGAGGCUAAGAUCUGCACCUGUUGGAGUUCCCCAAACCACCACUAGAGGGACGUCUGCAGCUGCCACGGGCAGAAGUUCCUCAUGAGGACAUGUCCUUCAGAGAACACGGAGUGUGGACGUCCUGUUAAAUCCCCACGGCUUCCCCUGAAAGAACAACCAGGAUGCUGACGAGAAGCGACGCCACCAGCUCCAUGAUGACACCUUCAGCGCCUCAGAGCCGCGCUACUUCAUGUCAAAGCAGAAGGCAGACAUUGUUCCAUCAACAGUUCUGAAGAACUCUUCUGGCUCAGAGGAACCACCACACUGCAGACCAGCAGACCCUCUUUUUGUGCUGAAAGGACGUUUUCGGUUCUGUUUGGUUGUUUCAAAUGAGUCUAUAAAAAGCUGUAAAAAUA